CCUACGGGAGGCAGCAGUGAGGAAUAUUGGUCAAUGGGCGCGAGCCUGAACCAGCCAAGUAGCGUGAAGGAUGACUGCCCUAUGGGUUGUAAACUUCUUUUAUAAGGGAAUAAAGUGAGGCACGUGUGCCUUUUUGUAUGUACCUUAUGAAUAAGGAUCGGCUAACUCCGUGCCAGCAGCCGCGGUAAUACGGAGGAUCCGAGCGUUAUCCGGAUUUAUUGGGUUUAAAGGGAGCGUAGGUGGGUUGUUAAGUCAGUUGUGAAAGUUUGCGGCUCAACCGUAAAAUUGCAAUUGAUACUGGCAGUCUUGAGUACAGGUGAGGUAGGCGGAAUUCGUGGUGUAGCGGUGAAAUGCUUAGAUAUCACGAAGAACUCCGAUUGCGAAGGCAGCUUACUAAACUGUCACUGACAUUGAUGCUCGAAAGUGUGGGGAGCAAACAGGAUUAGAUACCCGAGUAGUC
rnacentral:rRNA from 1 species